rnacentral:rRNA from 1 species
AUGAGAGACACUCAAAUGUUUCAGUGCUUAAGAAAACACAUAAUUACCAACUGGAAAAGGUGUAAGAAUAUACCUGUAGUAUGGCUCUCACCCUCACUGGAAUUCUUAUGCUUGAUCAACAUGGGUAAGCUGAAGACAUUAUGUGAUAAUCUUUGCAUAGAAGGUGGAGGGCACAGUACCCCUCUACAUUUUUUCCCAAAGUCGAAGGAGAUGGUCUUGGUAGAGCUAUCUAGUCUAGAGGGAUGGGCAGAAAACAGUGCGGGUGUGGCCACUGAUAGCUCGGUAAUAUUCCCGAUGCUUGAGAAGCUACAAAUCAGCUGCUGCCCUAAGGUUGCAAGUUUUCCACUAAGCCCCGUUCUCAAAGACCUGAAGUUAGAAGGAUAUUACUUGGGACUGGAGUGUGUAUGGGAUAUUCCAAGGUUGCCUACAUCCCUUGAAAUUUUGUGGAUUCAAUGCUUCGGAGGUUUGGUGGUGCUGCCUUCGAACCUUGGAGAUCUGGCAAAGCUGAGGGAGCUAAUGGUGAAUAGAUGCAGGAGCCUGAAAGGGUUGCCUGAUGGGAUGGAUGGCCUCACUUCUCUUCGGGACUUGUGGAUCCGUUGUUGUCCAGCGGUAGAGGAAUUCCCGAAUGGUCUCCUUCAGCGGUUGCCAGCCCUUGACCAGCUAACCAUAGAGGGCUGCCCCGAGUUGGAAAGACGAUGUGGAGAAGGUGGUGAGUAUUUCCACCACUUGGUCCCUAUCCCAGUUAAACGCAUUGGAGCAGAGUCAAAAUAUAGAACUGGUGCUCCAGAAGAAGAAGCAGAAGCAGAAUCCACAUUUAUAGCACGAGAAGCAGAAGCAGAAUCCACAAUUAUAGCACAAGAAGCAGGAACCAGAGGGAAGAAGUUUCUAAGAAGGCUCCUCCCCUCCUGUGCUCACUCGAAGUCUGGUGAUAACUGA